UGACAAUCAGUCUAUUAUUUAUUUAGCUCUGUCUUGAGUCUCUUUGGUCGUGAAAUACGAUUUUAUUGUGUGUGUUUCAUCUUUCAUCAAGCCUGAACAGAUUUCAGCCUGUGUUCUUUCCCUUUCUUUGAGGCUAAUUGACGUGAUAACGUCUAUGUACAAGUGGUCCCAGAUACUUGUAUCAUAUAUCCUGCUCAUGUGUGUGUCACCCGAUAAGCUUCCUUGCUUAUUAGGUACCUCACACGUAUACUUUGUACACAUCAACAUCUGACCCUGUACAUAUUUCAUCGCUCACAUUUUAUUCACCACUCAUCGUCUUCAAUACAUUGGAUGUAAGAGAAAAAGAGAACAAGCUUUCAAAUCACUGGUUCCAACAUUCAGAGGGAACAUGCCAGAAAGAAGUUAACUGCUGAUGAUGAUGGACAACAUGGUGUUGCUGGCGGCGAUGAAGACCAAGAUGACGAAAUAAGAACUUAAUUAUUUAAAUAACUCAUACAUGUUCAUUUUAAAUUAUCAGCAAUUCUGCUGAGCAAAUUAAUUAUCUAUAUGUGCAAUUGAGUGUUUUUACA